rnacentral:rRNA from 1 species
UACGUAGGGGGCAAGCGUUGUCCGGAUUCAUUGGGCGUAAAGAGCGUGUAGGCGGCCAGGUAGGUCGGUUGUGAAAACUGGAGGCUCAACCUUCAGAGGUCGACCGAAACCAUCUGGCUAGAGUCCGGGAGAGGAGAGUGGAAUUCCUGGUGUAGCGGUGAAAUGCGCAGAUAUCAGGAAGAACACCCGUGGCGAAGGCGGCUCUCUGGGCCGAUACUGACGCUGAGGAGCGAAAGCGUGGGGAGCGAACAGG